ACUGUAGAAGACACAGAGAACACAGCUCUGUUCCUAUCCUCAAAGGUCUUACAGUCUCUGUGAGCUCCAGAGCCCGGGAGCCACAGCUACUGAGCCGGCGUGCCACAACUACUGAAGCCCGCGCGCCUAGAGCUGGUGUUCUGCAACAAGAGAAGCCACCACAAUGAGAAGCCCACGCACUACAACAAAGAGUAGCCCCCUCGCUGCAACUAGAGAAAGCCCACGUGCAGAAGAAAAAAAAAAAAAAGAGUGAAUCUGCAUAAAAACAUAAAUCUACCAUUUAGAAAAAGGUGAAUCUGGACUCCUUUGGGAAACAACUCCUUGGAUCUAACCCAGGUUUUGUGAAGCCUAAAA